rnacentral:rRNA from 1 species
GAUGAACGCUGGCGGCGUGCCUAAUACAUGCAAGUCGAGCGAACAGACGAGGAGCUUGCUCCUCUGACGUUAGCGGCGGACGGGUGAGUAACACGUGGAUAACCUACCUAUAAGACUGGGAUAACUUCGGGAAACCGGAGCUAAUACCGGAUAAUAUAUUGAACCGCAUGGUUCAAUAGUGAAAGACGGUUUUGCUGUCACUUAUAGAUGGAUCCGCGCCGCAUUAGCUAGUUGGUAAGGUAACGGCUUACCAAGGCAACGAUGCGUAGCCGACCUGAGAGGGUGAUCGGCCACACUGGAACUGAGCCACGGUCCAGACUCCUAAGGGAGGCAGCAGUAGGGAAUCUUCCGCAAUGGGCGAAAGCCUGACGGAGCAACGCCGCGUGAGUGAUGAGGGUCUUCGGAUCGUAAAACUCUGUUAUUAGGGAAGAACAAAUGUGUAAGUAACUAUGCACGUCUUGACGGUACCUAAUCAGAAAGCCACGGCUAACUACGUG